rnacentral:tRNA from 1 species
GCGCGCGUAGCCAAGAGGCCAGGCGGCGGCCUGCAAAGCCGCAGACGUCGGUUCGACUCCGACCGCGCGCU